GACAGAGGGUGCAAACGUUGCUCGGAAUCACUGGGCGUAAAGGGCGUGUAGGCGGGAAGGGAAGUCAGAUGUGAAAUCCCUGGGCUCAACCCAGGAACUGCAUUUGAAACUCCCUUUCUUGAGUGUCGGAGAGGAAAGCGGAAUUCCUGGUGUAGAGGUGAAAUUCGUAGAUAUCAGGAGGAACACCGGUGGCGAAGGCGGCUUUCUGGACGACAACUGACGCUGAGACGCGAAAGCGUGGGGAGCAAACAGG
rnacentral:rRNA from 1 species